UACAGAGGUCUCAAGCGUUGUUCGGAUUCAUUGGGCGUAAAGGGUGCGUAGGUGGCGCCGUAAGUCAGGUGUGAAAUUUCGGAGCUUAACUCCGAAACUGCAUUUGAUACUGCGGUGCUUGAGGACUGGAGAGGAGACUGGAAUUCACGGUGUAGCAGUGAAAUGCGUAGAUAUCGUGAGGAAGACCAGUGGCGAAGGCGGGUCUUUGGACAGUUACUGACACUGAGGCACGAAGGCCAGGGGAGCAAACGGG
rnacentral:rRNA from 1 species